AUAGCCUUGCUUUUAAUGAGAAAAUUGGGGUAACCUUAUCACAAUCAUUAGUCAGAAUCAAGUAUAUAUCACCACGAGCUGGCAAUUUCCAUGCGUUCCACUGAAGAAAUUAGUCGCCAUUGUUUUUUUCUUGGCCAUGAUUCUUCGGCAAAGUCCGGCUAAAGUUGGUGACGAAAGCAGCCUUUGUAAUUGGCUGAUUCUCAAGACGUUUUAACAGAAACCCUUGUCCGCUUUGUUUACGUUCAGCUUUUCUGCAAUCCUUUGGAAAGUUCGUCGAUGGUAUUAAUUAAUACUUUCUUUCUUCAAAGAUUUGAUUUUAGCUCAUAUCCCUUCCUGCUAAAGCCAUGGGUUUCCUUCAGGCAACGACGUGAUCGUGCCUCUUUCAACCACUAACGAAACCCCUUGCAAAAUAUAAUGAAAUUUAUUGGUUUAAACUAAUAAUUAAUCUCCCCCAAACAAAAUAAUUAAUUGCAUUCUUUCUGUAUAUUAAUUAGUUUUGAAAGAUGAAGAAGUAAUCACUUUUUUUUUUUUUUUAAAAAAGAAGAAGAUAUACAUGUAUAUGGCCCAGGUGAAGAAAAAACGUAUAUAGUCUGCCGUGGGACUAAUUAAAACAAGACCUGGAAAAUAUGAAAAGUAUAUAAAAAAAUUAGAGGCUCGAAUUUAAUGGUGUAAACUCAUAUAUCUCUGUUGCUUCCUUACCCCCCAAAAAUAAAGAAAUAUCGAUUGCACUUUUUUAUUUGGUUAAUAUCUCUAGUGCACUUUAUUUCUUCUUUCCCUUUUCCCAUUGUCUCAAUCUAUAUCUGUGUGCCUUUUCAAUAUUACGAUCAAGUCAUGAGUCAUUCUCCAAUAACCAUCGGUGUAACGCUUGACAUUUAUUAUUGGCUCUUCUUAAAAAGUGCAAAUGUGAUGAUGAAGUUGCCAAAGUUAUUCGAUUUAUAGUGGAUUUUCACAUCGUUGUGACACUGACACGUGGAUUUUAGGGAAUAUAUACUCAUUACAUUUAGAACACUUUUCACUUCAAAUGAAGUUUCUUCUCCCCUUUUUUUGGUUUUUUUCUCUUUUUUUUUUUUUCAUAUUUUCAAGUUAAAAUAUGAAACAAGAAAUUUUUCAUGCAUGAGAUAAAGGUUUUUGAUUGAAAGAGAAUUUAUAUAUAUAUAUAUACACAAAUAUGUAUAUAUAUAUAUAUAAUAUAUAUAUACAUAUAUAAACACAAAUACCANAAAUUUAUUUGCCGACGAGAACGCGUACCAAAAGAUGCAUGCAUGAAGUAUAUAUAUAUAUAUAUAUAUAUAUAUUAAAACAAAGAUAAUACUAGCAGCUAGGACGGCAACUAAGGCUGUUUCUGCGAACCCUGCCUUCUUGGACAUAUGCUUAUUUUGUGUAUGCCGUCCUCUCUCCUCCUGGUCCACCUUCCUGGGAAGAAGAUAAUGCCUUGGCACCUACCCACCCCAGCCUUUUUUUUCCUUAUAUAUAUAUAUGAUUCACUUUACAUUUUUAGUAUGUCCCAUAUUUCUAGUAUAUUUUACUAAAUAACAUAAUUUAUGAAUAUGCACAAGCCCAAUCUUUAAUGUCCACAUAAAAAAAAAGAAGAGAACAAAAAAUUGAGCUAAAAUUGGGAUGGACAAGUAAUAAAGAAUUUAGUUUUGAUGAUAAUUAGAUGUAGACAUAAAGCUUGGUACUAUCAACGUACUGCCUUGAUCAUGAUGUAGUGUGGUCCAGAUUGCGGAUAGAGUCAUAAAACAAAAUGACAAUGAAAGUUUAGACUAAUCCUUCGGCCUAAGAGAUAAGAAUAAGAACCCCCAAUAUUUAUAUAACCAAUAGUACUAGAAUCUCUUCAUUUUAAAAUUAAAUAUUUCAUCUUAUUAUUUUAAAAAUAAAAAACACUUUAAUUGCUUUUUUGAAAUUAAAAAAAAAGAACAAAUUAUUCAUCCAACAUAUAAAUAGAGAAUGUUCACUAUAAAAAUGAAGGAAACCAACAUAAAGCAUGUAGAGCUUGAAAUAGAGUUGCAGAGGUUGGAUUUCAGAAUUUAAAUUUGAAUUUGCAUUUUGAAUCUUCUUGUCGUAACAUGCUGGUCUGGAAACCCGACCGCCAGACGAGAGUGAAAACUCUAAAACUAGGAGUCAUCACUAAUCUUUUUUACUAAGUGUGAUUGGUCACCUAUUGUCUCGAUUCUAAUUGAUAGAGUCUUAAUUAGAUUUAAGCUCGCCGAAAGAAUCUUAAACUGGUCUACAUUUUUCGAGAUCUAGAUUCGGAAGUACGGUUACGCCCGGGGAAGGAUUAACACCCCCGAAACGCCCGUUCCAUGAACGGUACCAUUUUUAGAUUAUCCUAUUAGGCUUUAUUUUUUAAGUUCAUUUUAUUUCCUUAGCUAUUAUUCACUUAUUUUAUCUCCUAUUCAACAUAAAAUGGAAUGCAAAUGUGAGGCAAGAUGAAAUGCAUGGUAUGAGAUGAAAAAUGUCAGACAAAUAACCUUUUAUCGAGGACGUUCUCUUAGAUCCGCCCAUCAUACUGGUGAGAUCCGGGGUGUUCUCUCACCUAAGGAAUUAUCCGAGAAAUUCGCCUUCGCAAAUUCGACGAAUAAAUCUCAUCAUCGGGGUUAUCGUACGUUUUUCUUUAAAAAAUAAUGUUUUCGUGAAUAAUGAACCUAAUACGAGCGAAAACCUUUUAUUAGAGAUGUUUCUCCGACCCCUCCCAUCAUACUGGUGGGACCCGGGGAUAUCUUUUCACCUAGGGUACUUUUCGAGAAAUACUCGCCUUCGCAAGAUCUUCGAAAAAUCCCAUCAUCGGGGCUUAACUCGUAAACAAAAUACUUAUAUGUAAUGGUAUGCAUAUUGCAAUAAAAAUAUAUGUUAUGUUUGUGAAAUUAAUUAUUUUUUUAUUUUUUAUUAUUUAUAUAUUUUUUAUUCUUAACUAAUUUUUUUUAUAUAAUAAAAUUUUAUUUAUUUAAAAUAAAAAUCUCGAAAACUGAGAAUCAAGGCCCUCCCAUCGUAUUGGUGGAGCCUUAAUUCGGAUUUCGAACCUAGGAAAAUUAGCUCGGGAUUGCGACUUCUCGCGUCUCGACCAAUCAUCCCAUCAUCGAUAUUAUAUUUGUAGUUGAUGUCAUGGUAAUUUUUAUAUAUAUAUUUUUAUAUUUUUAUUUUUAUAUACAUGUAUUUUUAAGGGUUAUUUAUAUAUUUGUAGUAAACAUUCUCCUAAACUUAAGUUCUUUGCAUAACUAAACACUUUCUAAAAUGUUAUUAUUAUUAUUAUUUUUAUAUAUAUUUGCUAUCCUUAUUUUUAUGUUAUUUUGUUCUUUAAUAAUUUCCAAACCCUAGGACUAUUAUCUAGAAAUUUUUAGAACAUUAUAAUAACUUAAAAUUAAUUUUAUAUCAUCAAGUAUUAAAGCUCUAACUAAAUAAAUUGGGUUAAAUCUAAACAAACCAUAUCACAACAGUUCAGGCAGCCUAAAUCACCACAGACCCAUUUGGCAAGGAGUAACAUUUUACCUGAUUGGGCUAAGCGAGCCCAAGCUAACUGGCUGACCCACGAUCUUCACUAAGCCCACUGUCUGGUGCUUUGCAC
rnacentral:lncRNA from 1 species